rnacentral:lncRNA from 1 species
UAAGUGACUAGCCCAGAGUCACACAGCUAAUAAAUAAUGGAGAGGUUCUACAGUCACAACUGUCAGGACAGAUGGAUUUGAUGGAUUAGUCUUCAUCUUAACUGCAGAGCUCAUUUGUACUGGGGUAUGUGGUGACCCAACCAUUGUUCCUUUCCUGAUUAACUGCACUGCAGUUGUGUUUUUGAGGUGUCUCUGAUAAGGUUUCAAGUUACCAAAUAAAAUAACAUAUAUACAUAGCUUGCUAGGCAAUAAGGUCUCAGGAUCAAUCAAUUAGAACUGCAGAGGAGCUUAGAGAACAUCUAGUCUACCCCUUUCAAUCUAACCCCUUUAUACACAAAGAAAUUGAAGCCCAGAGAAUUAAAAUCUCUUAGAUAGCAACUUUGUUUACAGGCACUGGAUGUAUGCUUUUUGAGGUCAAGGACUAUCUCAUUUUUAUGUGCAUCUCCUUAGAACCUAGCUGCAAUGCUUAGCACAUAGUUGGUACUUAAUAAAGCUUGUUAGUUGAUUAAUUGGACAAAUAGUAUGUUUCCAACUUGGUGAUUUCUCAUUUCUGAAAGUCCUCUCUUCUCCCCAACCCCAUUCACUUCUCUCAUACAUAAGACUGCAUAUGAAAGCAAUAAUCUAGGAAUAAAGUAGGGGUACUUGCCUAAUCCAUUAACAAGCAUUCAUAAGUGCCUACUGUUUUCCAGGAUUUGUGAAAGUUACUUGAAAUACAAAUGCAUUCAGCUCAGGACAGAUUCUAUAAGAACUAGUAAAAGGACUCCUACCCAUCAACACUGAUAAUUUCUUUGUAGUUUCUCUGCCUCUGUUUGCUGAAGUUAAGCAACAUAUGCUGCUGAAUCUGGAUUGUGAUUGUAGUGUGUGAUUGACCAACAGAUCACCUUACUUGAAGCAUCAACCCCUCAGAAAUGUGGUGUUAACAACUGAAAUUCUCAAGAGGUCUGAUCUCUCAGUUCUCAAGAAUUCCCCUCGGGCAGUUGGGCAGAGUUAUUCAAAUUUUCCAGGGCUGUUUCUUGAAAACCUGUAAGAGAAGAAAAGUCACUUACUCCUCUUGGCAUAACUGUUCCCCAGAACAUUUCAGCUUGCCAGAAACACAUCUUUGAAAAUUAAAAUAU